rnacentral:rRNA from 1 species
GAUGAACGCUAGCGACAGGCUUAACACAUGCAAGUCGAGGGGUAACAGGGUAGCAAUACCGCUGACGACCGGCGCACGGGUGAGUAACGCGUAUGCAACCUGCCUAUAACUGGGGAAUAGCUCCCUGAAAGGGGAAUUAACACCGCAUAACACUAUUGAUUCGCAUGGAUUAGUAGUUAAAUGUAGCGAUACAGGUUAUAGAUGGGCAUGCGUGACAUUAGCUAGUUGGUGAGGUAACGGCUCACCAAGGCUACGAUGUCUAGGGGUUCUGAGAGGAAGGUCCCCCACACUGGUACUGAGACACGGACCAGACUCCUACGGGAGGCAGCAGUGAGGAAUAUUGGUCAAUGGGCGCAAGCCUGAACCAGCCAUGUCGCGUGCAGGAAGACUGCCCUAUGGGUUGUAAACUGCUUUUAAGUAGAAGAAACACAUCUACGCGUAGAUGUCUGCCAGUAUACUAUGAAUAAGCAUCGGUA